rnacentral:lncRNA from 1 species
CUUUUUUUCUUUACUUUAUUUGUUUAAGGCUAUUCAUUGAACGAUCUAAGUCUCUUGUUUUACUCUUUUCAGGAAAUCAUAGUUUAUGCAAAAUUCUGACGAGAUUGAGCUUCUUCCAAUAAAUCCCGAAAUCAAAAGAACUUUCAGACAACGAAAAGAGAGAGCAUAGACAAGCAAGAGAUAUUGCAGAAAACUAGCAUCAGAAUUAGGCUCAGAACCAUUUGCCACUACCUCAGCCAAUUCAGCCAGAUCUGUCGAGGACAGUCGCAAAUCAUGGGGAAGUUUUAGUGAGAGAUUUUGUAAAUCCAGUGCCAGCACCGAUUCAACCUCCAAUCAUCUAUCCGCCCUUUGGACAAGCUAACUUCCACAUCGGACCAGAUGUCAUAAACCUCUUUCAAAAUCAUCAAGACUUCAGGUUCAGUGGGAAAGCUACGGAAAAUCCACAUAAACACGUUCAAGCUUUUACCAUGUUGUGUGAUGUAAUUAGCCAUGAGGGGAUGUCACGGGAUGCAUUUCGAAUGCAUUUAUUUCCUCACACUUUGAAGGAAGGUGCGAAAAUAUGGAUGAUGUCACAACCUUCUGGGAGCAUUAUAUCGUAGAAUGACAUGAUUAAAAAAUUUACCUUGAAGUUUUUUCCACCAACUCGAGUUCAUCAAAUUCUGAAUGAAAUCCACACUUUUAAGCAGAAAGACCUUGAGAGCUAUCCAAAGGCAUGGGAAAGGUAUACAAACUUAUUGAGGAAGUGCUCCAUUCUUGACAUUCCUAAAUAAGCACAAAUUUAUAUCUUUUACUAUGGAUUACACCAAGAAUUCAAGAAUAUGGUAGAUGCUUUAGCAGAAGGAUCGAUAAUGGCUAUAAAAGUGGACAAUGCUUAUGAGCUGUAUGAGAGGAUAGCAGAAAGUCAAUCGAUGUGGCCGAGCAAUAGAGAAGUCCAGAGGAAAACAACUGGUAUAUAUAAUGUGGAUGUAGUGACAGUGUUCACAUCACAGAUGAAGGCAAUAACUAGAAAGCUCGACACUUUGACCCAUUCUGUGAAUAUGGUACAAACUCCAGCUCUGAAGUGUGCAGGUUGUGGGGCAGAUCACAUUACUACAAGUUGCCCUUUGGCUUCUACUCACAUAAGUUAGCCAGCAGAGGUCAGUUAUGCACAGAAUUAUCAGAGGUAAAAUGGUCCUUACCCAUACAACUACCAUCCGAGUUUGAACAAGCAUCCUAACUACGCGAGGGUUGAUAAUUCAUAUCAAGUAAAUCAAAUGAGGGGCAAUCCACCAUCGAUUCAGCAACAAGAAGAAAAGAGACAAUCAUUGAAGGAUCUACUUGUCAAGUACGUCACCAAGACUGAGACGGUGAUACAGAAUCAGCAAGCCUCUAUACAUAACUUAGAGAAACGAGUGGGAAAGAUAGCAGUUGCAUUAGCCAACAGAGCACAAGGUACUCUGCCGAGCGAUACAAAAAAGAACCCAAAGGAGCAGGUAUUAGUAGUUAAAGCUGUGAAUUAUGCAACUAUCGAGACACCAUCAAUCAAGCCUGCUAUACCUGUUCGAGCUUAUGUGCCGCCUAUCUCAUUUCCUCAAAGGCUUCAAAGACGUCCUAAAAAUGAACAAGUUCAGGCUAUCACAACAAGAAGCGGAAUUCAACUGCCAGAAAUCACAGUGAAGAAGAAGGGGAUUGAGGAAAAUUGAGUACUGACCUUGGGAGAAGACAAGUGGGUCAGUCUGAAAAUUUAUCAAAUGUUAAUCAAGAAUAACAGUCAGACAAUCCACAGGUCAAUGCGACUAUUCUUAGCAAUAACAACACACCUUUAGUUCCAUUCCCUCAAAGGUUGCAAAAAUUUGUUCGUGUGAAACUCGCAAGCGUAUGAGAUCGUUUACAAGUAAUAAUAAGUGAGUUAAGAGUUUAUCGUCCCACGAGGAAUAAGGUUUAAUGUCUAGUUUGAUAGUUUUUAUCAAAUUCGAUAUUAUCGUAACACAAAAGAGAGUUUAAUGUUUUUCUAUAUUGAUCCUAAUCUAAGAAAGCGAUUAAAAUGUA